rnacentral:piRNA from 1 species
UCUGGACAUAAGCCUUUAGAUGUGCU